rnacentral:rRNA from 1 species
UACGUAGGGCGAAAGCGUGGUCCGGAAUUAUUGGGCGUAAAGAGCUCGUAGGCGGUUUGUCGCGUCUGCUGUGAAAACCUAAGGCUCAACCUUGGGCUUGCAGUGGGUACGGGCAGACUAGAGUGCGGUAGGGGUGACUGGAAUUCCUGGUGUAGCGGUGGAAUGCGCAGAUAUCAGGAGGAACACCGAUGGCGAAGGCAGGUCACUGGGCCGCAACUGACGCUGAGGAGCGAAAGCAUGGGGAGCGAACAGG